GAUUAAGUUAUUAAGGGCGCACGGUGGAUGCCUUGGCACUAGAAGCCGAUGAAGGACGUUACUAACGACGAUAUGCUUUGGGGAGCUGUAAGUAAGCUUUGAUCCAGAGAUUUCCGAAUGGGGAAACCCAGCAUGAGUUAUGUCAUGUUAUCGAUAUGUGAAUACAUAGCAUAUCAGAAGGCACACCCGGAGAACUGAAACAUCUUAGUACCCGGAGGAAGAGAAAGAAAAUUCGAUUCCCUUAGUAGCGGCGAGCGAAACGGGAAGAGCCCAAACCAAAAAGCUUGCUUGUUGGGGUUGUAGGACACUCUAUACGGAGUUACAAAGGACGACAUUAGACGAAUCAUCUGGAAAGAUGAAUCAAAGAAGGUAAUAAUCCUGUAGUCGAAAAUGUUGUCUCUCUUGAGUGGAUCCUGAGUACGACGGAGCACGUGAAAUUCCGUCGGAAUCUGGGAGGACCAUCUCCUAAGGCUAAAUACUCUCUAGUGACCGAUAGUGAACCAGUACCGUGAGGGAAAGGUGAAAAGCACCCCGGAAGGAGAGUGAAAUAGAACCUGAAACCGUGUGCUUACAAGUAGUCAGAGCCCGUUAAUGGGUGAUGGCGUGCCUUUUGUAGAAUGAACCGGCGAGUUACGAUUUGAUGCAAGGUUAAGCAGUAAAUGUGGAGCCGUAGCGAAAGCGAGUCUGAAUAGGGCGUUUAGUAUUUGGUCGUAGACCCGAAACCAGGUGAUCUACCCUUGGUCAGGUUGAAGUUCAGGUAACACUGAAUGGAGGACCGAACCGACUUACGUUGAAAAGUGAGCGGAUGAACUGAGGGUAGCGGAGAAAUUCCAAUCGAACCUGGAGAUAGCUGGUUCUCUCCGAAAUAGCUUUAGGGCUAGCCUCAAGUGAUGAUUAUUGGAGGUAGAGCACUGUUUGGACGAGGGGCCCCUCUCGGGUUACCGAAUUCAGACAAACUCCGAAUGCCAAUUAAUUUAACUUGGGAGUCAGAACAUGGGUGAUAAGGUCCGUGUUCGAAAGGGAAACAGCCCAGACCACCAGCUAAGGUCCCAAAAUAUAUGUUAAGUGGAAAAGGAUGUGGCGUUGCCCAGACAACUAGGAUGUUGGCUUAGAAGCAGCCAUCAUUUAAAGAGUGCGUAAUAGCUCACUAGUCGAGUGACACUGCGCCGAAAAUGUACCGGGGCUAAACAUAUUACCGAAGCUGUGGAUUGUCCUUUGGACAAUGGUAGGAGAGCGUUCUAAGGGCGUUGAAGCAUGAUCGUAAGGACAUGUGGAGCGCUUAGAAGUGAGAAUGCCGGUGUGAGUAGCGAAAGACGGGUGAGAAUCCCGUCCACCGAUUGACUAAGGUUUCCAGAGGAAGGCUCGUCCGCUCUGGGUUAGUCGGGUCCUAAGCUGAGGCCGACAGGCGUAGGCGAUGGAUAACAGGUUGAUAUUCCUGUACCACCUAUAAUCGUUUUAAUCGAUGGGGGGACGCAGUAGGAUAGGCGAAGCGUGCGAUUGGAUUGCACGUCUAAGCAGUAAGGCUGAGUAUUAGGCAAAUCCGGUACUCGUUAAGGCUGAGCUGUGAUGGGGAGAAGACAUUGAGUCUUCGAGUCGUUGAUUUCACACUGCCGAGAAAAGCCUCUAGAUAGAAAAUAGGUGCCCGUACCGCAAACCGACACAGGUAGUCAAGAUGAGAAUUCUAAGGUGAGCGAGCGAACUCUCGUUAAGGAACUCGGCAAAAUGACCCCGUAACUUCGGGAGAAGGGGUGCUCUUUAGGGUUAACGCCCAGAAGAGCCGCAGUGAAUAGGCCCAAGCGACUGUUUAUCAAAAACACAGGUCUCUGCUAAACCGUAAGGUGAUGUAUAGGGGCUGACGCCUGCCCGGUGCUGGAAGGUUAAGAGGAGUGGUUAGCUUCUGCGAAGCUACGAAUCGAAGCCCCAGUAAACGGCGGCCGUAACUAUAACGGUCCUAAGGUAGCGAAAUUCCUUGUCGGGUAAGUUCCGACCCGCACGAAAGGCGUAACGAUUUGGGCACUGUCUCAACGAGAGACUCGGUGAAAUCAUAGUACCUGUGAAGAUGCAGGUUACCCGCGACAGGACGGAAAGACCCCGUGGAGCUUUACUGUAGCCUGAUAUUGAAAUUCGGCACAGCUUGUACAGGAUAGGUAGGAGCCUUUGAAACGUGAGCGCUAGCUUACGUGGAGGCGCUGGUGGGAUACUACCCUAGCUGUGUUGGCUUUCUAACCCGCACCACUUAUCGUGGUGGGAGACAGUGUCAGGCGGGCAGUUUGACUGGGGCGGUCGCCUCCUAAAAGGUAACGGAGGCGCUCAAAGGUUCCCUCAGAAUGGUUGGAAAUCAUUCAUAGAGUGUAAAGGCAUAAGGGAGCUUGACUGCGAGACCUACAAGUCGAGCAGGGUCGAAAGACGGACUUAGUGAUCCGGUGGUUCCGCAUGGAAGGGCCAUCGCUCAACGGAUAAAAGCUACCCCGGGGAUAACAGGCUUAUCUCCCCCAAGAGUUCACAUCGACGGGGAGGUUUGGCACCUCGAUGUCGGCUCAUCGCAUCCUGGGGCUGUAGUCGGUCCCAAGGGUUGGGCUGUUCGCCCAUUAAAGCGGUACGCGAGCUGGGUUCAGAACGUCGUGAGACAGUUCGGUCCCUAUCCGUCGUGGGCGUAGGAAAUUUGAGAGGAGCUGUCCUUAGUACGAGAGGACCGGGAUGGACAUACCUCUGGUGUACCAGUUGUCGUGCCAACGGCAUAGCUGGGUAGCUAUGUGUGGACGGGAUAAGUGCUGAAAGCAUCUAAGCAUGAAGCCCCCCUCAAGAUGAGAUUUCCCAACUUCGGUUAUAAGAUCCCUCAAAGAUGAUGAGGUUAAUAGGUUCGAGGUGGAAGCAUGGUGACAUGUGGAGCUGACGAAUACUAAUCGAUCGAAGACUUAAUCAA
rnacentral:rRNA from 2 species